GUUAAUGUAGCUUAAAACCAAAGCAAAGCACUGAAAAUGCUUAGAUGAGUCCACAAACUCCAUAAACA
rnacentral:tRNA from 1 species